UAAUACGUGUAGUGCCUGGCUUUACCACUGGGAUAACAUUCCUAAACGGGUGCUAAUACCGGAUAAGACCACUGUUCGGAAGUACCGAGGUAGCAUCAUAGCCUCUGAUUUAUCCUGUCACGUACAAAUGGGCCCACGGCCUAUCAACUUGUUGGCGGGAUAACGGCCCACCAAGGCUUCGACGGGUAGCCGGCCUGAGAGGGUGAACGGCCACACUGGAACUGAGACACGGUCCAGACUCCUACGGGAGGCAGCAGUGGGGAAUUUUGCGCAAUGCGCGAAAGCCUGACGCAGCAACGCCGCGUGAGGGACGAAGGCCUUCGGGUUGUAAACCUCUUUUACUUGGGAAGAACCCCUCCCUUGCAAAUAGUGGGGGAGACUGACGGUACCAAUAGAAUAAGCCACGGCUAACUCUGUGCCAGCAGCCGCGGUAAGACAGAGGUGGCCAGCGUUGUUCGGAUUUAUUGGGCGUAAAGAGCGCGUAGGCGGUCCUGUAAUUCGGUGGUGAAAUCCCGGGGCUUAACCCCGGAAUUCCCCUCGAUACUGCUGGACUUGAGUGCGGGAGAGGAUAGUGGAAUUCCUAGUGUAGAGGUGAAAUUGGUAGAUAUUAGGAAGAACACCAGUGGGGAAGGCAGCUAUCUGGACCGCAACUGACGUUGAGGCGCGAAAGCGUGGGGAGCAAACAGGAUUAGAUACCCUGGUAGUCCACGCCCUAAACGAUGGACACUAGGUGUGGGAGGUAUCGACCCCUUCCGUGCCGUAGCAAACGCAUUAAGUGUCCC
rnacentral:rRNA from 1 species